rnacentral:rRNA from 1 species
GUCUACGGCCACGCCACCCUGAAUGAGCCCGAUCCCAUCUGGUCUCGGACGCUAAACAGGGUCUGGCUUGGUGAGUCCUUGGAUGGGAGACCACCUACGAAGACCAGGGGCUGUAGGCG